GAGGCAGGGGCGAGGGGCUGCGGGAGGAGCCGGGCGGUGCUGCGGGUUUCGCUUCUCCAGUCUCCCCUCCUUCUCUUU
rnacentral:pre_miRNA from 14 species